UACGGAAGGCAGCAGUGGGGAAUAUUGCACAAUGGGCGCAAGCCUGAUGCAGCCAUGCCGCGUGUAUGAAAAAGGCCUUCGGGUUGUAAAGUACUUUCAGUCGUGAGGAAGGUGUUAAGGUUAAUAACCUUAGCAAUUGACGUUAGCGACAGAAGAAGCACCGGCUAACUCCGUGCCAGCAGCCGCGGUAAUACGGAGGGUGCGAGCGUUAAUCGGAAUUACUGGGCGUAAAGGGCACGCAGGCGGUUAAUUAAGUUGGAUGUGAAAUCCCCGGGCUUAACCUGGGAAUGGCAUUCAAGACUGGUUAGCUAGAGUCUUGUAGAGGGGGUAGAAUUCCAUGUGUAGCGGUGAAAUGCGUAGAGAUGUGGAGGAAUACCGGUGGCGAAGGCGGCCCCUGGACAAAGACUGACGCUCAUGUGCGAAAGCUGGGGAGCAAACAGGGAUUAGAUAC
rnacentral:rRNA from 1 species